UGGGGAAUAUUGGACAAUGGGCGAAAGCCUGAUCCAGCCAUGCCGCGUGUGUGAAGAAGGUCUUCGGAUUGUAAAGCACUUUAAGUUGGGAGGAAGGGCAGUAAGCGAAUACCUUGCUGUUUUGACGUUACCGACAGAAUAAGCACCGGCUAACUCUGUGCCAGCAGCCGCGGUAAUACAGAGGGUGCAAGCGUUAAUCGGAAUUACUGGGCGUAAAGCGCGCGUAGGUGGUUCGUUAAGUUGAAUGUGAAAGCCCCGGGCUCAACCUGGGAACUGCAUCCAAAACGGGCGAGCUAGAGUAGGGCAGAGGGUGGUGGAAUUUCCUGUGUAGCGGAGAAAUGCGUAGAUAUAGGAAGGAACACCAGUGGCGAAGGCGACCACCUGGGCUCAUACUGACACUGAGGUGCGAAAGCGUGGGGAGCAAACAGG
rnacentral:rRNA from 1 species